AGCCCGCCUGCAUUACGCGAAGAAGAAGCGAACUUUACCAAAUUGCCUCAGCAUAUGUGGUCGUGAUGCUGCUUGUAUUGCUGCACAUCUAUCAUUAGGAAGCUGUAAACUUUAAAGACAGUUUGCGAAAAUCUGGUCGAAACACGGAUUAUUUCAACCGAAAAAAGAUACAAUGAAUAUAUUUGACCUACCGACAUAUGACCCAAGAAUUUUUGCCAAUUUAAGGCUGUAUUUUAGACAUUAUGACGUGAUUCAUCAUAAUAUUAUAUAAUCAAUUCUGUUAUCAAUCGGGUUUUUUUUAAAAACUGUACUAAUAUAUAUUAGUACAGUUUAAAAAAUACCCCGAUUGAUAACAGUUAACUAGUGUGCUGUGUAAAAGAUAUUAAAUAGGCUCCCAGCGGAAGCGUGUGUCUACUGCCUUA